rnacentral:snRNA from 1 species
GUGCUUGUUUUGGCAGCACAUAUACUAAAAUUAGAAUGAUACGGAGAAGAUUAGCAUGGCUCCUACACAAGGAUGACAUGCAAAUUCAUGAAAUGCUCCAUAUUUUU